UUUUAAAUAGCUUAUAAGAAGAGCAUUAUCUUGAAAAGAUAAAAGAAUUAUUAAAUAUAUUUUUAAAAU
rnacentral:tRNA from 1 species